rnacentral:rRNA from 1 species
CUAUAAGACGUGGGAUAACGUUACGGGAAACCGGAGCUAAUACCGGAUAAUAUAUUGAACCGCAUGGUUCAAUAGUGAAAGACGGUUUUGCUGUCACUUAUAGAUGGAUCCGCGCCGCAUUAGCUAGUUGGUAAGGUAACGGCUUACCAAGGCAACGAUGCGUAGCCGACCUGAGAGGGUGAUCGGCCACACUGGAACUGAGACACGGUCCAG